rnacentral:rRNA from 1 species
UCAGGACGAACGCUGGCGGCGUGCCUAACACAUGCAAGUCGAACGAGGCUCAGUCAGUAGCAAUACUGACGAAGACCUAGUGGCGAACGGGUGAGUAGCACGUGAGCAACCUGCCCCGAAGACCGGGACAACACCGGGAAACCGGUGCUAAUACCGGAUAGCCCCAUUGAGUCGCAUGGCUUGAUGAGGAAAUGGAUUCCGCUUCGGGAGGGGCUCGCGGCCUAUCAGCUUGUUGGUGAAGUAACGGCUCACCAAGGCUUCGACGGGUAGCUGGUCUGAGAGGACGAUCAGCCACACUGGGACUGAGACACGGCCCAGACUCCUACGGGAGGCAGCAGUGGGGAAUCUUGCACAAUGGGCGAAAGCCUGAUGCAGCAACGCCGCGUGAGGGACGAAGGCUUUCUGAGUUGUAAACCUCUUUCAGCAGGGACGAUUGUGACGGUACCUGCAGAAGAAGCCCCGGCCAACUACGUGCCAGCAGCCGCGGUAAUACGUAGGGGGCAAGCGUUGUCCGGAUUUAUUGGGGCGUAAAGAGCUCGUAGGCGGCUUGGCAAGUCGGAUGUGAAACCUC